AUUGAACGCUGGCGGCAGGCCUAACACAUGCAAGUCGAACGAGUGGCGGACGGGUGAGUAAUAUCUGGGAAACUGCCUGAUGGAGGGGGAUAACUACCGGAAACGGUAGCUACUACCGCAUACCAUCGGAUGUGCCCCGAUGGGAUUAGCUAGUAGGUGGGGUAAAGACUCACCUAGGCGACGAUCCCUAGCUGGUCUGAGAGGAGGACCAGCAACACUGGAACGUAGACACGGUCGAGACUCCUACGAGAGGCAGCAGUGGGGAAUAUUGCACAAUAGGCGGAAACCUGAUGCAACGAUGCCGAGUGUAUGAAGAAGGCGUGCGGGUUGUAAAGUACUUUCAGCGGGGAGGCGUUAGCCGCAGAAGAAGCACCGGCUAACUCCGUGCCAGCCGCCGCGGUAAUUC
rnacentral:rRNA from 1 species